AUCUGGCAGAGAUGUUGGAGUGAACCUGUUCGGGGGCGGCUUGUAGAUGUUGACGAUGGCGGUGUCUUGCACUUUAGUUGCAAUCCAUUCCACCUCUGCAUCUUUUGGGGACUGUGCUAUAGCUGACCAAGCCAUGUUGUUACGAACGAACUUCGCAGAAUUAUGAACAGUGUCUCAGAAGAGUGGAAUUGGAAUCAACCUCCCAUCUAUCCAAGACUUGUACCUGUUCCAGGACCAGGAAACGUGCAAGUAA